rnacentral:misc_RNA from 1 species
GUCUGCCGAAGACGCCGCACGGAGCCUGGGCCGGAAUCGUAGAUCGAACGCGGCAUCGAAGCCCUGCAGCCCUUCGGGGCCAAGGCGGCGCAGCAAGCCUCUUUCAGGCGGCAGAGUCCUUUAGAGUGUGAGAGACACUCUAAAGGAAUGAAAGAGGGCGACACCCUGGUGAAC